rnacentral:rRNA from 1 species
AACGAACGCUGGCGGCAGGCCUAACACAUGCAAGUCGAACGCCCUAGCAAUAGGGAGUGGCAGACGGGUGAGUAACACGUGGGAACCUUCCCUAUAGUACGGAAUAGCCCAGGGAAACUUGGAGUAAUACCGUAUACGCCCGAGAGGGGAAAGAUUUAUCGCUAUAGGAUGGGCCCGCGUCGGAUUAGCUAGUUGGUGAGGUAAUGGCUCACCAAGGCAACGAUCCGUAGCUGGUUUGAGAGAAUGACCAGCCACACUGGGACUGAGACACGGCCCAGGCUCCUACGGGAGGCAGCAGUGGGGAAUCUUGGACAAUGGGCGCGAGCCUGAUCCAGCCAUGCCGCGUGAGUGAUGAAGGCCUUAGGGUUGUAAAGCUCUUUUGUCGUGGACGAUAAUGACGGUACCCGAAGAAUAAGCUCCGGCUAACUUCGUGCCAGCAGCCGCAGUAA